GCCAGGUUUAGUGGCGGUUGCCUGUAAUCCCAGCUACUUGGGAGGCUGAGACAGGAGAAUCACUUGAACCUGGGAGUUGGAGGUUGCAGUCAGCAACUCCAACUGGGCGUUGCUACUGCACUCCAGCCUGGGCGACAGAGUGAGACUCUGUCUCUC
rnacentral:SRP_RNA from 1 species